AGAGUUUGAUCCUGGCUCAGAACGAACGCUGGCGGCAUGCCUAAUACAUGCAAGUCGAACGAGAUCUUCGGAUCUAGUGGCGCACGGGUGCGUAACGCGUGGGAAUCUGCCCUUGGGUUCGGAAUAACUUCUGGAAACGGAAGCUAAUACCGGAUGAUGACGUAAGUCCAAAGAUUUAUCGCCCAAGGAUGAGCCCGCGUAGGAUUAGCUAGUUGGUGAGGUAAAGGCUCACCAAGGCGACGAUCCUUAGCUGGUCUGAGAGGAUGAUCAGCCACACUGGGACUGAGACACGGCCCAGACUCCUACGGGAGGCAGCAGUGGGGAAUAUUGGACAAUGGGCGAAAGCCUGAUCCAGCAAUGCCGCGUGAGUGAUGAAGGCCUUAGGGUUGUAAAGCUCUUUUACCCGGGAUGAUAAUGACAGUACCGGGAGAAUAAGCUCCGGCUAACUCCGUGCCAGCAGCCGCGGUAAUACGGAGGGUGCAAGCGUUGUUCGGAAUUACUGGGCGUAAAGCGCGUGUAGGCGGCCCUGCAAGUCAGAUGUGAAAGCCCUCGGCUUAACCGGGGAAGUGCAUCUGAAACUGCUUGGCUUGAGUACCGGAGAGGGAGGCGGAAUUCCCAGUGUAGAGGUGAAAUUCGUAGAUAUUGGGAGGAACACCGGUGGCGAAAGCGGCCUCCUGGACGGAUACUGACGCUGAGACGCGAAAGCGUGGGUAGCAAACAGGAUUAGAUACCCUGGUAGUCC
rnacentral:rRNA from 1 species